AACGAACGCUGGCGGCAUGCCUAACACAUGCAAGUCGAACGAAGGCUUCGGCCUUAGUGGCGCACGGGUGCGUAACGCGUGGGAAUCUGCCCCUCGGUUCGGAAUAACAGUUAGAAAUGACUGCUAAUACCGGAUGAUGACUUCGGUCCAAAGAUUUAUCGCCGAGGGAUGAGCCCGCGUAGGAUUAGCUAGUUGGUGGGGUAAUGGCCUACCAAGGCGACGAUCCUUAGCUGGUCUGAGAGGAUGAUCAGCCACACUGGGACUGAGACACGGCCCAGACUCCUACGGGAGGCAGCAGUGGGGAAUAUUGGACAAUGGGCGAAAGCCUGAUCCAGCAAUGCCGCGUGAGUGAUGAAGGCCUUAGGGUUGUAAAGCUCUUUUACCAAGGAUGAUAAUGACAGUACCUGGAGAAUAAGCUCCGGCUAACUCCGUGCCAGCCGCCGCGGUAACAC
rnacentral:rRNA from 1 species